rnacentral:misc_RNA from 1 species
GCUUUGUCAGGUAGUCUAAGAUCCUAUAGAUUACAAAUUCCAAAAGUUCAAAGUUUAGGGGGUUAAAAGGUUUAAAAGCGGUGUAUGCAAUUAGAACCAAGGACCUGAUCAGAAGAUACUUAUACUCUGUCAUUUGAGCUGAGGAGUGAUACUUUGGAUUGGACUUUUUGAUUUUAUUAUCGUCCGU